AUUAAAAUCUGAAUUAAAUGCCCCAGACAACAGAUACAACAAUUUAAAAAUAUUUCUGAGGAAAAGUACAGUAUUUUUGAAUAUUAGUUACUAAUUUGAAGUUGUUUGUUUGCUUCAAAAAUCUUAAACGUUCAAGAUUAGUUUGACUCUUAUUAAUUAUCAAACAAUUUGAUAAGAAAAACCGUAUGUUGAUAACUACGUGGUAAUAGAACAUUUUGGUGACACUUUUAUAUUGCAUUCUAAAAAAACAAAGAGCUCUUCAAUGGCAUCCUUAGUUGACUAAGACACUUAUUUUUAGCUUACAGGGUACUUUAUGAAAAUUAGUAUUGUCUAAAACUUUUCGUGGUUCAUUACUUAGGUACUAUAACCGUUUCACCAGCACUUUGGUUUUGUUAGAUGUUAUAAAAUAUAUACUAAUAGCUAAAGUAAAUAGAUUAAGAUGUGUUAUUUUAGUGGCUACUUGAAUAAAUCAGAGUAACAAAAUUUAAGUUAGCAUUUAAAAUAUGUUGCUCAGCAACUAUAUGUUUAAACCUAACUUAACCUUAAAUUCCCCGUCAAAUUAAGACUGCCGUAAAGAUGUUUUCAUAUUUAAUCGCAAUAAUUGUUUUUAUGGCUGAUUAGAAAAAAUUGAGUUUCAUUAGCAUUUAAAUAAAAAAGAACGAAUAAACCAGAUAUUGUUAACCAAAACAAAGUAUUGUUGUUUUAAAAAUUUUCACGCCAUCUUUUUAUGUCUCUUAACCCACUCUUGAUAUAAUUUUCUGUCAUAUCUAGCUCUCUGAUCUUAUUAAAGGUGUAAUAAGAAGUUAAGUCGAAAUUGAGUACCAUGUUCGUUGUGAACGUUGAUUAUUAACAUGGCAAUUCUGACCUUGCUUACGGCACUUCUAAAUAGUCGACCUAUGUUAGCAACCAUCUUCACAGAUUUUGGAGCCACCAGUAUCUUCUCAUGCCUGGUCAUAGCAUGCUGUCUUUUUUUCCUAUUGACGUAGGCGGGACUGAUCAAGUCUCAAGAUGUGACCUGGAUAUUCAAGUUUUCUUUGUUUAAUUGUUAUCACGUUUUUUUUUCUUGUACAAUUCUAUGGAUUAUCUCUAUAUUGGUGACAUGUUCGGUCUAGGAGAUAAGAAAGAAUGCGUCGGCACACCCACAUUUCGAAUGCUUCUACUUGUUUCAUGACCGUCUCUGUCAGCGUCCAGACACCUUACAGUAAGAUCCGUAAAAUGUAGCAUUUAACUAGCCGUAGUAGGAAUAUUAAGAAUAGUAUCCUUAUAUUCCUUGCGUAUAACAAGCCUUUUACACAUGUGGUUAAAUACUCGUUCCAUUCUUUCCUUAAUUUCUUUGGCCUAUUCCUAUUUUCCAUUUACGUUGGUGCCAAGGUAAGCAUCCAUUUUGUCUUCUUGAAGUUGAGGUUCAGCUCAUAAACCUCACUGACUGCAUUAACCCUUUCCAUUGCCCGUUAUCAUUUAUCUGUUACUAGCAACAAUCACUGUUUUAUUGGUUGCUUUUUCCAGACAUGUUUUAAAUAUUUCUUGUAGAUAUGAAGAGGAGUAGGGGACAAGAUGGGCUGUUGGGCACAUCUUUUUGACCCCAGUAUAGGUUUGCCACAAUCCGAAUAUCCUUGACGUUAAUACACAAUUGUGUCUUUCGUAGAAUAUCUUUUAGCCGUUCAUGAUCUACAUCGUCAAAUGCUUUUCUAAAAUCCACAAAGCACAAAUACACAUCCUUAUUAAAAUAGUUAACAUGAUUUUAUAUAUUUUAUAAGGGAAGAAAUUAUACAAGAAAAGGUAAAUACCUUUUGAUGAACCGCUUGAAGCUUUAAGACCAAAUAAUGAAGGAUAAAACGUUUUAAACCUAGUAUCGUCUACUCAAUCUUUUCUUUAGAGUAAAGGUUCAAAAGUGUUUCUCUUAGGGACUACUGAGAUUUAACAAAUUGAAUUAGCUAUUAUUAAUGUUAAUAAAACAAAUCAUUUUACGAUAUUUUAAGGAUAUUUUAAAAAACUACAAUGUCAACGGCUGCUUGACAGUUGAAACAUUACACAGCUUUAGUUUCUUUUAUUAUCGUUAGGUAUAGGAAUUAUGUCAUUAUAGGUGUCAAAUAAAAAUUAAUUAAAAUAUGAUAUGAAAUAUCAUAAAUGUAAUAAAAUAUGAAUUGUUUGUGAUUUUGAACUAAAAAUGAAUGCAA
rnacentral:lncRNA from 1 species